rnacentral:rRNA from 1 species
GACGAACGCUGGCGGCGUGCUUAACACAUGCAAGUCGAACGAAGUGGCGAACGGGUGAGUAAUACGUGAGUAACCUGCCCUCCUUUUUGGGAUAAGCCUUGGAAACGGGGUCUAAUACCGAAUAAAGGGGGAUGGGCGCGCUGCCUAUCAGCUUGUUGGUGGGGUGAUGGCCUACCAAGGCGGUGACGGGUAGCCGGCCUGAGAGGGUGACCAGAGACAUUGGGAAUGAGAUACGGGCCAAACGCCUACGGGAGGCAGCAUUGGGGGAUAUUGCACAAUGGGCGAAAGCCUGAUGCAGGUAGGCCGCGUGGGGGAUGAAGGCUUUCGGGUUGUAAACCUCUUUCGCUAUCAAGCGGGUAGGUGGAGAAGAAGCGCCGGCUAACUACGUGCCAGCAGCCGCGGUAAUAC